UACGUAGGGGGCAAGCGUUGUCCGGAGUUACUGGGCGUAAAGCGCACGCAGGCGGUCUUUUAAGUUUGGAGUGACAGUUGGUGGCUUAACUGCCAAAGUGCUUCGAGAACUGAAAGACUUGAGGGCUUCAGAGGGACACGGAAUUCCGGGUGGAGUGGUGAAAUGCGUAGAGAUCCGGAGGAACACCAAAGGCGAAGGGCAGUGUCCUGGGGAGUACCUGGACGCUCCAGGUGCGAAAGCCAGGGGA
rnacentral:rRNA from 1 species